GGGCCACUUUGUGUUCCAAUAUAAGAAGAGGCGUUAGGGUUUCAGACUACUUCAAAGUUCCAAACACUCAAACCAGUUACGGCGGCGGCGAAGUUGCCAUCAACAUGUUCUUCACCACCACCAUCACUGAUAUCUGCAUCAUCACCACUUGAUGAAUGGGUUAUAGAUGGAAUAUGGGUUUUGUGUGUCACAAACCAUGGAAGGAGGAAGAGAUAAAAAUGGUUGAGUGUGAGCGAAAUCGGAAAUGAAGUUUUUUCAUAUCUUGCGAGCACGAAGCUGUUCAUUAUUUCCAAUCAAGGACUUAUCGCUUGUGCUAUUGGGGAACGAGGUCCUAUAGAUGCUCAAGCUAAUCGAAGAUUCGAAAUCAGCAGAAAGCUCUUACUAAAUCUGACAAACGGAUGCAGUACCCUAAAUCGUGUCAAUGAUCAAAACUGAUAUACUUCAUGCAACUGAAACACAAUAGAUGGGUUAUAGAUUGGGAGGAGGAGAAAAUUGUUGAUUUGGAGUAUGCAUGGGGACGGAAGAAAACAACUCCAUCAACCAAGAAGUUAACCAAAUAUCAAACUAUAAGGAGAUAGAUGCAGUUGAUGUUGCUCAAAGCACCAAGCGGGAUAGCUAAUGAACUGAAUCGUGUGGUGGUGAUCUUGCAGCGGAUGGAUUAUGAAAGGGAGCAGGAUACUAAUGCUAGUGCUAACAAAAGACGAGAAGCUUGGAAAGCUGGAAUUGGGCUAGUACCUGUGCAAGUUGAAGAAGAAAUUGGAAUCUAGAGUGCAGAGAACAGCAUUCCUGUCAUCAAAAGCAUUUUGGGGAUAAAGAAAAUUAGAGAUCAGUUCUCUGUCAGGAAAUGAAGGUUUCAAAGCAUCAGUGCCUAUCAAAUAGGACUCCAGCAGUUCGAGCACAAUAAUAAAUAGAUGUCAGAGCCAGUUGAUAUAUAUAUAUCCUCCGGUAAGUCUCGGUACCCGACCCAUCACCAUGAAGACAGGAACCAGAUCUAGAAUACGGUUUAAACUAUUAUAACAUAACAGUCGCUUGUGCCUCCUCCGGGUACAGUUCUGAUGUCUAAUUUCACCCUGUAAUAACACUACCAUGAUGAAUUUUCCUCUCAAAAAUUAUGUCUAAUUUUUUCUUUUUCUGUAAAGUUUGUAACAUGCCCUCUUUUGGGUUAGAAGCAAAGUAGCAAAAAUAAUUGCAUUACUUGAAUUGAAUCACCA